rnacentral:rRNA from 1 species
AUCACGGGAGACACACGGCGGGUGCUAACGUCCGUCGUGAAGAGGGAAACAACCCAGACCGCCAGCUAAGGUCCCAAAGUCAUGGUUAAGUGGGAAACGAUGUGGGAAGGCCCAGACAGCCAGGAUGUUGGCUUAGAAGCAGCCAUCAUUUAAAGAAAGCGUAAUAGCUCACUGGUCGAGUCGGCCUGCGCGGAAGAUGUAACGGGGCUAAACCAUGCACCGAAGCUGCGGCAGCGAACGUAUCACUUAAAGCGAUUCAGCGGGUUACGAUUGACGGAGCGAAGCGACGUCAAAGCGUAUACAAAGUCGAGUCGGUUUAAGGAUACGUUCGUUGGGUAGGGGAGCGUUCUGUAAGCCCGUGAAGGUGGCCUGUGAGGGUUGCUGGAGGUAUCAGAAGUGCGAAUGCUGACAUAAGUAACGAUAAAGCGGGUGAAAAGCCCGCUCGCCGGAAGACCAAGGGUUCCUGUCCAACGUUAAUCGGGGCAGGGUGAGUCGACCCCUAAGGCGAGGCCGAAAGGCGUAGUCGAUGGGAAACGGGUUAAUAUUCCCGUACUUGGUGUUACUGCGAAGGGGGGACGGAGAAGGCUAUGUUGGCCGGGCGACGGUUGUCCCGGUUUAAGCGUGUAGGUGUGUGUUCCAGGUAAAUCCGGUUCACUUUAACACUGAGGCGUGAUGACGAGGCACUACGGUGCUGAAGCAACAAAUGCCCUGCUUCCAGGAAAAGCCUCUAAGCAUCAGGUAACAUCAAAUCGUACCCCAAACCGACACAGGUGGUCAGGUAGAGAAUACCAAGGCGCUUGAGAGAACUCGGGUGAAGGAACUAGGCAAAAUGGUGCCGUAACUUCGGGAGAAGGCACGCUGACACGUAGGUGAAGUGAUUUACUCACGGAGCUGAAGUCAGUCGAAGAUACCAGCUGGCUGCAACUGUUUAUUAAAAACACAGCACUGUGCAAACACGAAAGUGGACGUAUACGGUGUGACGCCUGCCCGGUGCCGGAAGGUUAAUUGAUGGGGUCAGCGCAAGCGAAGCUCCUGAUCGAAGCCCCGGUAAACGGCGGCCGUAACUAUAACGGUCCUAAGGUAGCGAAAUUCCUUGUCGGGUAAGUUCCGACCUGCACGAAUGGCGUAAUGA